CUUCCCAUGGGGCCUUCAAUACUAUCCUCUCUCUUCACACCGACCUCCGCAACCUCACCCUCUCCUUCUAUGGUGACACCCUCCUAUCCAUUCCUUCCUCGUCGACGAUCUAUUUUAUAUGAUUAAGGAAUAUUUUCAUCUAUUGAAAUAAAAAGUUAAUACCAUUUAUUAGUAAGUGAAUGACAAGACUAUUUUGAAAUAUUUCAAAAAUUUGAAGGGCUAAUUUGAUACUUUUUAAAAUCAAGAGAGUAUAAAUGAAAUUAGACUAAAGUUGAAAGGAUGUUUCUGUAAUUUAUCUUAAAAACUAUGAAUCUAACUCUACCUAGGCUUGAUCCAAGCUUGUGCAGCUAGAG
rnacentral:lncRNA from 1 species